UACGGGGGGUGCGAGCGUUGUCCGGAAUCACUGGGCGUAAAGGGCGCGUAGGUGGUUUGAUAAGGGUGUGGUGAAAGCCCGGGGCUCAACCCCGGGUCUGCCGUGCCGACUGUCAAACUCGAGGGCUGUAGAGGCAGACGGAAUUCCGGGUGUAGCGGUGGAAUGCGUAGAGAUCGGGAGGAACACCCGUGGCGAAGGCGGCCAGCUGGGCCGUCCCUGACGCUGAGGCGCGAAGGCGUGGGGAGCGAACGGGGUAU
rnacentral:rRNA from 1 species